rnacentral:rRNA from 1 species
AGUGAACGCUGGCGGUAGGCCUAACACAUGCAAGUCGAACGGCAGCACAGUAAGAGCUUGCUCUUACGGGUGGCGAGUGGCGGACGGGUGAGGAACACAUCGGAAUCUACUUUUUCGUGGGGGAUAACGUAGGGAAACUUACGCUAAUACCGCAUACGACCUACGGGUGAAAGCAGGGGAUCUUCGGACCUUGCGCGAUUGAAUGAGCCGAUGUCGGAUUAGCUAGUUGGCGGGGUAAAGGCCCACCAAGGCGACGAUCCGUAGCUGGUCUGAGAGGAUGAGCAGCCACAGUGGAACUGAGACGCGGUCCAGACUCCUACGGGAGGCAGCGGUGGGGAAUAUUGGACAAUGGGCGCAAGCCUGAUCCAGCCAUGCCGCGUGGGUGAAGAAGGCCUUCGUGUUGUAAAGCCCUUUUGUUGGGAAAGAAAAGCAGCAGGUUAAUACCCCGCUGUUCUGACGGUACCCAAAGAAUAAGCACCGGCUAACUUCGU